ACUCUCUGAAGUUCCUGAUAAAGGGUAAUCCUGGGAACUGGUGUUUUUUUAACAAAAACUCUUCAUGUGAUUCCGAUGCACUCUUCUGAGGGAGCAAACAUAAUGAAGACAUUGUUCCUAUUCACAAAGAUGAAUGGGAGAAGAAUAAACAUAACUUAUAAGGAAAACUGCAUCAAGGCUCCACUGGCAGAGCAGCAGAGCGGAACAGCAGAGAAGGAGGGAAGAGAAGAAGCAGCUGAACAUUGGAGAGAAGCAGCUUGACUUCAGAGGGACAACUUGACAGCAGGACUUUGGAGAAGAGUUUGGCCAGGGAUGGAACUAAGCUGGCCGAACUCCAAGGGAAGACUACCUUCCCACUCCAUCCUUCUCACUCCAUCCCCUUUCUAGCUGCCCAUCCUGCUGAGAGUCACUUUCAUAGGCAAUAAAAUCCCCCACAUUUACCAUCU
rnacentral:lncRNA from 10 species